UUGAGUGCCCUGCUGUUCCUAGCUCCAGCCCUUUGCUGUGACAUCCGUGUGGGUUGCUUUGCAGGUGAUUACAAUGUUAAGGAGAGUGCAUUAUGACUUCAGGUGUCUGCCCCAGACCUAGCCUGGGUUAUGCAGCAGAGCUGUCCCAUUGAACCAAACUUUGAGACUUGAAGCAGAUGGACAUGAGUGCUGUGACCUUCCUGUAUGCCGAAGAACUGCCAGUUGGUCAAU